CAGAUUUUUGCUGGAUUGGGCCUUUUUAAAGUAUUUUGCAGCUGCACACUUCUAUUUGGUCACGGCUGUAGAGUACUUUCAGGGACCAGAUUGGGCAAAAAUUGUCACUCCUGUCUGCAUCCAAAAAGCUUGAG